rnacentral:rRNA from 1 species
UACGGGGGGGGCAAGCGUUGUUCGGAAUUAUUGGGCGUAAAGGGCUCGUAGGCGGCCAACUAAGUCAUACGUGAAAUCCCUCGGCUUAACCGGGGAACUGCGUCUGAUACUGGAUGGCUUGAGUUCGGGAGAGGGAUGCGGAAUUCCAGGUGUAGCGGUGAAAUGCGUAGAUAUCUGGAGGAACACCGGUGGCGAAGGCGGCAUCCUGGACCGAUACUGACGCUGAGGAGCGAAAGCCAGGGGAGCAAACGGG